AUUGAACGCUGGCGGCAUGCCUUACACAUGCAAGUCGAACGGCAGCACGGGAGCAAUCCUGGUGGCGAGUGGCGAACGGGUGAGUAAAGUAUCGGAACGUGCCCAGUCGUGGGGGAUAACGCAGCGAAAGUUGUGCUAAUACCGCAUACGAUCUAUGGAUGAAAGCGGGGGAUCGCAAGACCUCGCGCGAUUGGAGCGGCCGAUAUCAGAUUAGCUAGUUGGUGGGGUAAAGGCUCACCAAGGCGACGAUCUGUAGCUGGUCUGAGAGGACGACCAGCCACACUGGGACUGAGACACGGCCCAGACUCCUACGGGAGGCAGCAGUGGGGAAUUUUGGACAAUGGGCGCAAGCCUGAUCCAGCAAUGCCGCGUGCAGGAUGAAGGCCUUCGGGUUGUAAACUGCUUUGUACGGAGCGAAAAGGCUCUCUCUAAUACAGGGGGCUCGAUGACGGUACCGUAAGAAUAAGCACCGGCUAACUACG
rnacentral:rRNA from 1 species